GACAUUCUGGGCUGGUGGUGCCACUCCGCGGAUUGGACAGCCCUAGCACCAACCCCGGCAAAUUCUUCCUGGUAAACCGCGAGAGCUUGGGUCGGACCCGCCCACGUCACCACCAACCCCCGCCCACCUUCUAGGUCCUGCCUUGGGCGCAGCUGGGCGCUGUCGGUCUUUGCAACCUUGUCGUCGUUUGGCGCUGAUUGAACCUCACCGCCACGAACCGAACCGCCACGGGUCACCACGCCCUGGAGAGGCCGAACCGCCACGGGUCACCACGCCCUGGAGAGGCCGAAAAGCCUUACUUUUAGGACAGGGAAGCUGAGACAAAGUGGGGCGAUCAAAGAACUGGAAUUUGAACUGCGUCUGAGUGACUCGGAAGCCCCGGACGAGUGGCGCCCCCGAGCCGGCAAAACUCCACCUCGAUGGGCGUCCGAGUUGAUGCAAGCGGCCUUUCGUCGAAGGACCGGUUCCGGUUGCACCGCGCUUCCCUUCUCCCGCCCGGGUCACUACUCAGGGCGGUGGGAGCCGGUGCAGGCAACGCGCUUUGAUCGCGGAGCGCACCCUGCCGGAGGGCUGCAAUCUUGCUCGCUCGCUUCCCUCCCCAUCCCCCAGUCUGUCUGGGACCACUCCACUUCUUCUCGGUAGGCAAGUGGAGUUCCCUCUGUACCUUAAAGAACAACAAAACCCCUGUGCCCAUCGCUUUCUUUCCGUUUGAAAAUGUCUCCCCUUGUCCAGGAACCCCACUGUCUCCCCCGCAGUUUACGAGCGGGUUCUCCAAGCUCGGUCUUUGCCCUGCCUACAUGCUACUCCGCCACCGGCACUCUUGCUCCACUGUUCUAGCAAAAGACGCCGGGAGGAAAGCGGGUUGAAGCGGGUUGAAUCCCGGUAGCAGACCUAUACAGCUACUUAAUGCCUCUGAGUAUGGAGGGGUCUGAUGAAUUUCAAAUGAAAUUAGCACUCGCCGAACCCUUUUCAAACCCCGUGUUUGGUGCUGGGAAGCUUCCUGUGGUUCAUCUCAACUGUAUUGUAUUUCACAACGCCCCAGCUUAAGUCGCAAACAGAACAUUGGCAUUCAAAAUGAUUGCGAAAGAGGAGUUCCCGUCGUGGCUCAGUGGUUAACAAAUCCGACAAGGAACCAUGAGGUUGCGGGAUCGAUCCUGGCCCCGUUUAGCCGGUUAAGGAUCCGGCGCUCGGUGAGCUGUGGUGUAGGAUCACAGAUGCGGCCGG
rnacentral:lncRNA from 1 species